UACAUGCUUAGUUUUGUCCAAAUUACUCGUUUUCAUAAACAUAUAAUUAUAUAUGUAGAUUACCAAAAUCUCUUAAAUUUUGCCUUUGCAGUUGUUUUCUAAUAUCUGGGAAAAUGUACCUUUUUCAAUAACAAACGGGUUGAAUUUAUGCUACUAUAUUUAAAGAAGAUGUAUGGGGGAUGGGUUGGGUUUCUUGUAUUUGAUAUGCAACAUUUUGUUUAAGUCCAUUAGUAGACAGGUGGAUGAUGUAGUGGUAUAGUAUAGUAUUGUUGGCCUCUAGGGAUUUUUAACUAUGAAAGAUAUUUUUGUAAUCUUUUUUUUUUUCUCUAGCUAUAUAAAGGAACAUUCCUAGACUGUAAUGUGGUUGUUCCUUUAUCCUUCAUAGUGAAACACAUUUGGCUCUAUGGACAUAACAUCGUUUAAAAACAGGUAUUUGUCAAGUUCUCAUGGCAUUGAUUAUAUUGGAUUGUGGUACUUGAACUUUUUCUUAAGUAAGAAUUAA
rnacentral:misc_RNA from 1 species